GACCACCCGUAACAGGAGACGCGGCUCCUGCGCGCCCCCCACUGGCCGGCGCCUGGGCGGUGCACAGGCAGGGGGCGGGGCCUGUGGCGUGGAGCUGCCUGGCGAGCACCGUUAGGGCAGCUUGGCGCGCGGCGCCCGCCCGGCGCCCAGUCCUCCGCCACCGCCCACGCCUUCCUGGUGCCAGCCAACAGGUAUCAGCGCGCCUCCCCAGCGGCUGAGAGAGACGCUGAGUGAAGAGGAGGGAAGGACGGUUAGUCAGAGCCGCAACUGCCAGAGCUGCUUGGAGAGCUGAGCUGGAAGGACGUGGGGUGCUUAGCCCUGCGUAGAAACGCCUGCCAAUGCGUUCCCAUUUGGACCCAGACUCCAUAUCGGGAGUAGUCUUAUAUAGCUGGAUCCCCUACGAAGACAAGUUCUAAAGCAAGAAGAGGAAAGCAUUUCAAUUUGGGACAUUUAUUCACAGCUGGAAAUGGGGAAUGGGCUGUCAGACCAGACUUCUAUCCUGUCCAGCCUGCCUUCAUUUCAGUCCUUCCACAUUGUUAUUCUCGGUUUGGACUGUGCUGGAAAAACAACUGUCUUAUACAGGCUGCAGUUCAAUGAAUUUGUAAAUACUGUACCUACCAAAGGAUUUAACACUGAGAAAAUAAAGGUAACCCUGGGAAAUUCUAAAACAGUCACUUUUCACUUCUGGGAUGUAGGUGGUCAGGAGAAAUUAAGGCCACUGUGGAAAUCAUAUACCAGAUGCACAGAUGGCAUUGUAUUUGUUGUGGACUCUGUUGAUGUUGAAAGGAUGGAAGAAGCCAAAACUGAACUUCACAAAAUAACUAGGAUAUCAGAAAAUCAAGGAGUCCCUGUACUUAUAGUUGCCAACAAACAAGACUUGAGGAACUCAUUGUCUCUUUCAGAAAUUGAGAAAUUGUUAGCAAUGGGUGAACUGAGCUCAUCAACUCCUUGGCAUUUGCAGCCUACCUGUGCAAUCAUAGGAGAUGGCCUAAAGGAAGGACUUGAGAAACUACAUGAUAUGAUAAUUAAAAGAAGAAAAAUGUUGCGACAACAGAAAAAGAAAAGAUGAAUAUCCAUACCUAUUAUAUCUGUGUGGAGUAGGUUUUCUCUGGUCUGAUUUUGACAAAUAGAAGAGUGUCUACAGCGUGGUUUGCCUGUCUGCCCUCCUGGAUGCUAUUAAAGCUUUGUUUUGUUGAACAAUCAGAUGCCCAACUCUGUUGCCUUGUGGAAGAUGAGUAAAUGCAGUGCUUCUUAAAGUGGUCUCUUCUCCCUACCCGACAAUUCUUUUGGUACUACCAUUUGGGGAAGCCAAGCAAGGAUAGUAAAUUGACCAGAACACAGUUGUGGAAAUUUGACCUGAAGUUAGUGAAAUAAAACUUUAAAGAGUG